GUCGUCCCUCACCAUCCU
rnacentral:snRNA from 1 species